rnacentral:rRNA from 1 species
AUUGAACGCUGGCGGCAUGCCUUACACAUGCAAGUCGAACGGCAGCACGGGAGCUUGCUCCUGGUGGCGAGUGGCGAACAGGUGAGUAAUACAUCGGAACGUACCCUGAAGUGGGGGAUAACGUAGCGAAAGUUACGCUAAUAUCGCAUAUUUUGUGAGCAGGAAAGAGGGGGAUCGCAAGACCUCUUGCUUUAGGAGCGGCCGAUGUCGGAUUAGCUAGUUGGUGAGGUAAAGGCUCACCAAGGCGACGAUCCGUAGCGGGUCUGAGGGGAUGAUCCGCCACACUGGGACUGAGACACGGCCCAGACUCCUACGGGAGGCAGCAGUGGGGAAUUUUGGACAAUGGGCGCAAGCCUGAUCCAGCCAUGCCGCGUGAGUGAAGAAGGCC